rnacentral:tRNA from 1 species
UUGCUUUGGAUCAGUGAAGGCACGUUCUGUCAGGUUUCUGUUCGGCUUGUCCGACGGGAGCGCCGUCAACAUAUCCCUUUCUGCGAUAGUGACCAUCAUGGCGCACGUUGCUUUGCCUUCGGGUUUGAAGCUUUGUGCUGUGGUGGUUGGGUUUGGGCUAGUAGCUCAGUUGGUUAGAGCACACGCUUGAUAAGCGUGGGGUCGGAGGUUCAAGUCCUCCCUGGCCCACCACUGGCCGUGCUGUAUGCACAGCAUUCUGGUUUUGGGGGCAUAGCUCAGCUGGGAGAGCACCUGCUUUGCAAGCAGGGGGUCGUCGGUUCGAACCCGUCUGCCUCCACCAAAAACCAGAGGAUGUCCCGAGAAGUUGGAAUGUCGGGUGAGUGGUGACGAGAGGACCUAUCGCAAGGGAGUGUAGAGAUCGGACAGUCUGUUCAAGGACCGCGGUGCGGCCUUGGACGGAUGCGUCUGGUGAGUGAUCUUUGUCAGUGUGAAUCGGUUGGUGCGCAUCUGUGCGUGCUGUUUUUCUGUGGGUUGUCUGACCCUCAGAUCCUGCGAGAGAUUUCAGGAUCUGUGAAAGCAGAAAGCGGCGUGAGCGACCAGAUGCGUUUUGAAGAAAGAGAGAACAUGUGACGUGCUUGGAUGCACCAUGUGGAAACUCGGAUGUGUCACGAUGUGGCAUGGAUGGUUUCUGUGCAUGGGGCGAGUGAGCGCGAUAAGGGCAUUCG